GCCUCAGCUCCUGGGAUAUGCUGCUGGUCCAACCUGAAAUCCUUCUGUAGGUUGAGUCAGCAACAUAUCCCAUGACUUUUGGGU
ensembl:miRNA